rnacentral:rRNA from 1 species
UACGGGGGGGGCAAGCGUUGUUCGGAAUUACUGGGCGUAAAGGGCUCGUAGGCGGCCAACUAAGUCAGACGUGAAAUCCCCAGGCUUAACCUGGGAACUGCGUCUGAUACUGGAUGGCUUGAAUUCGGGAGAGGGAUGCAGAAUUCCAGGUGUAGCGGUGAAAUGCGUAGAUAUCUGGAGGAAUACCGGUGGCGAAGGCGGCAUCCUGGACCGACAUUGACGCUGAGGAGCGAAAGCAUGGGGAGCGAACAGG